AAUAGUUGAUAACUGAAUCUGUUCACCUACUUAAUAUGCACUUAUGCAUGAAUUGCAAGCAUACUGUGAAAUUCAUUAUUCCAUCUCUAGGAAACACAGAUGUACAUAUUCUUUGACUAGAAGUAACUAAGCAUUAUCUGAUAUAUGGUUUUGUUUUAAUGAAAUUUAUGUUACUGAAGCAUUUAUUCUUAUAUCUCUGGUUGUUCCACUUUUUCUGAGUUGGCUAUGAUUAUUUUGCCUGAAUUUUACUCCGAUAGUAAUAGUUCAUUUAUUGGGCUUCUCGGUCCCUCUAUGUACAUUAUGUAUACUGCUAUGUGAGUUGAAAACUUGUUUGACCUUCCAUUUGAAUUUAUUCGGUUGGGUAUUUGAUAGGUAAUAUAACUAAAACUCAUUAUGCAUACUUGAAAACACAAACAAGGGUGUCGAAGAUUUUUGUAUGCAUAAUUAUUAUGUUUAAACUAAAACAAUGCAACAUUGAUUUUCUGGCCAUGAAGAUCAAUGCAUCCCUAAACUAAGCUGCAAACUUGUCAAGAUCUACAUUGAUCUGCAUGGCAAGUCCGCAGAUUUAUGUUCCUUUGUAUUCUCUAUGAUCUUAACAAGGUUAAAGUUAUGAAACAUCAGUUUCACGUUGGCAGUCUUCAAAUAUAGGGAUUAAACUGUCAAGGUUUGUUUCUGUUGUUGAUUAAACCUCAACCGGUAAAUAUUAAUGUGACAUGCAAAAGCUUCUUACCUCAGGGAAGAAACCUUCGGCACCUUCCCAAGCUCAAUUGAAAGACAGUAGUGCAUAACUGGUUGGUCUAAAGGCUGCUAACAAAGGUUUCAGAUGCGAUGGUGUUGGGUAUCUCGACCAUCUAGAUGUCCCUUGGAAUGAAACAUAUAAUGCUGAUCAACUUGAAGGAAUACAUGAUUCUUCCAAGCAAAAGCUUGUCCCUUGGAGGAGAGGUAUGCAUAUGGGGUAAGACUGGUGAUCCAUCCAAUGUUCAACAAACAAUAUGGCCUCGAGUUGCUGCAUGUAUAAUAUAUGUAGUAAAAACUAGAUAAUCACUACAACAUAUGUUUAAGUUAAAUAGAACCCAAGCUGCACUUUUGUGAAAAUGGAUAUUUGGUAUUGGCACAGUACUCUA